rnacentral:rRNA from 1 species
UACGUAGGGGGCAAGCGUUGUCCGGAUUUAUUGGGCGUAAAGAGCUCGUAGGCGGUCUGUCGCGUCGGAUGUGAAAAUCAGGGCUCAACCCUGGACCUGCAUUCGAUACGGGCAGACUAGAGUUCGGUAGGGGAGACUGGAAUUCCUGGUGUAGCGGUGAAAUGCGCAGAUAUCAGGAGGAACACCAGUGGCGAAGGCGACUCUUUGGCCUGUAACUGACGCUGAGGCGCGAAAGCGUGGGGAGCAAACAGG